UGACCUCGGAUCAGGUAGGGAUACCCGCUGAAC
rnacentral:rRNA from 17 species